AUAUUCGUGGUGUAACGGUAUCACACUUGGCGCGUAUUCAAGAGGUCCAGGUUCGAGUCCCGGCGAGGAAA
rnacentral:tRNA from 1 species